CGGAAUGCCACCUACUAGUGAAUUCUUAGACAAAUUCAAGUAUUGCAACUUGCUAAUGUCCCCAAGAGCAAGAGGAACUGCACCAGUCAACGAAUUUUUUGAUAUAUCCAACACUGCGAGGUUUUGCCUAGAAUUAUCCGUCAAAGAUUUCAGAGAAGCACCAAUGUCUCCAAUUAAUUUAUUCUCUGAGAAAUUAACAUUUUGUAAACCCAAUUUAAAUAACCAAGUAGGAAGAUUGCCAGUCAACGAAUUCUGACUGACAUCUACCACCACAAGGUUUACACAAUUGAUAAUCGACUCUGGCAAGCUCCCCGCAAAGGAAUUCAUGGAUAGUUUCAGUAAUUUUAUAGACCGAAGGUUCCCCACUGAAGUUGGCAGACGGCCAGAAAAGCUAUUAUCAGAAAGAUCCAGACUCUCUAGGUUUUUCAUUUCUCCAAUCCAUUCGGGGACUUCACCAGUUAAAGAGUUUUUGUGUAAAUUCAAAUUAUUGCACAAAGAAAGCAUCUGCAAUGAGCUUGGAAGACUUCCUUGAAAAGAAUUAUCACUAAGAUCUAUUGAUCUUAGCAGCAAACAGUUUCCAAUUCCGUCUGGAAUCUCACCUGUUAACUGAUUAUUUCCCAAGUGUAGUUCUCUCAAGUUGUUUGAACUUUCAAUGCCCUUUGGUAUCUCACCCUCAAACAGAUUCCUAGACAAGUCAAGUGACCUUAGUCCCUGUAAAGACCAGAUUCCAGAAGGCAACAGACCUGAAAAUUGAUUCCCGGAAAAGUUCACUGUAGCAAGUACUGAACAUGAGCUUAAACUAUCCGGAACAGGGCCUGUGAACUUGUUAUUAGCCAAUGAAAUCAAUUUCAAGGAUCGACAUUGGCCAAAGAAAUUGCCUGGAAGUGGUCCCAUGAGUCUGUUCUCGCUCAAGUCAAUAACCCUCAGGUUCUCCAACUGUGCGAGAUUAAAGGGCAGGCCCCCAGUUAGAUUAUUCUUAGCGAAAGAUAAUUUCCUUAGAAACUGAAGCUGAAGAAUACCCCGGCCCACCCUUCCAGAAAGACCAAAACCAUCAAGAGUCAAGUCUGAAACUCUAUUAGAUAUAGGGUCACAUCUGACCCCCUUCCAGUUACAAGGAGUAUUAUCAUCUUCAUUCCAAGAUGUCAAAUUAUUAUCUGGAUCUUGAAUGUCAGCCUUAAAUACAAUCAACCCUAAUAGAUCAUCAUUCAGUGAGGGAUUCAGAGAUACUGUUCUUCCCACAAUUAACAACAAAAACACUACACAAUCAAACAACUUUCUCAUCUUCAUUCUACAGCCUAAACUCAAACACCAACUCCUUUAAUCUCCCUCAGAGAAAAAGGGCAUUUAUCUCCACAAUAUCGAUACCUCGCCUGAAACCUAGACCACACACACCAAAGAAAUUAAAUACAUUAUUUAGUUCUGCAAUAAUGUUUAAUUGAAAAAUCGCCAAAACAAUCCAAAUGAAGUGUUCACUCAAACAAGAUCUCAAAGAUCUUCAAAAUACUAAAAAGACUAGUUAGUAAGCUUUUUAACUAAUCUUCUUAACCAUUCACCUCAAAUAAAGUAAUAAACACCACAUAUUAACAUCAACAAAAUCAGCUACACAGACAUUGUAUACAGACAUGUAUGCAUACACAAAUAUAAAUAUAUAAAACAGAAAAAGCAAGCACAUAAUGCAGAGAAAAAACCUAGAUAUUUGAAAAAGUUGAAAACUUUACAAAAGUAUAGAACAUAAAAACAAGCCCCAGUAAGAAGCUUUAAAGUGUAGAUGCAAAAGAUAUAUAAAGAUGCACUAUAAUGUGAGCUGGGUAAUUAAUAAGUCGCCGGAAAGCUUAAAUCCGGCGACGGGAACAAGAAAGAGAAGCAUUUAAAAAGAAUUACCGGCAAAAGGGCCGUUAAAGUUGGUCUCCGGCAGCAAGUUGAUGUAAACUACAGCAGGACACUUGCUUUUUUGUUUGACUGUGUGUGAGAGAGAGGAAGAGAGUGUGUGUUUUAGUACAGACAGGAAUUGUAAUAAAAUGAGUUUCUCAUUGAUGGCGAGAAUCUCAAGGGGAAUGUUUGGGUGUUUCAACUUAGUUAUGUUUUUUACACAUUAAUUAUGUUUAUAUUCAGAUUUACAUGUGCGUCUUUGGAUUUAAAAAAAAUAGCUCAAUUUAUGAACAUUAAAAUGUUAACGCUUCGGUAUUUUAAAUUCUUUUAAUAAGAGUUGAUAGAUUUUUUUUAUUUAUGAAAUCUAGGUCUAUUCAACUAGAAUUUAAAAAUAUAUAGAUCACUGUGAGUUAUUUUAUUAAAAUUUUAAUAUAUACUAUAAAAUUUGGUGAUACUCAUUCGAAAAUUUUAAAUUAUAUUAAAUUAUGUUUAAAUAUUACACAAGUGUUUUGUUAAAUUUCAGACUCACAUCAAAUAUUUGUUUGAGAAAUGAUAAAUUUGAAACUCAUAUUUCAAAUAUAUAUUUUGUUGAUUUCAAAUUCAUAAUGUCUUUUCCAAAAAUAUCCUUAAUUAUAUAAAAAAAAUAGUGCUCAUGAAAUAUGCAAGCAAGUUUCAUGAAAAUCAUUUGUUUUACAAUCGCAUUUACAACGGCAUUCUGAAAAUAUGAAUAUUUUAUAAUUUUCUUUUAAUAUUUGAUUAAGGAAUGAUAAAUUUGGAACUCAUUUCAAACAGCUAAGGCAUCAGUUUUUGUAGCUAAGAGAAGGUUAAUGUCAAAGCAGAGAAGCUAGACAUUUUUAUUUAUUAUUAUUAUUAUUAUUAAUUACUAUUAUUAUUAUUAUUAUUAUUAUUAUUAUUAUUAUUAUUAUUAUUAUUAUUAUUAUUAUUAUUAUUUAUUUGUUUAUGCAUUGUCAUUUGUCAAGCUAUAUUAAUAUCAGCCUCUAUUUUCCCGCUUCACCAUCUUUUGAAGGCCCUGUAAUAUAUUUGGCACAGCUCCACAGACAUGCUCGCUUGCUUCAAUAGUUCAAUAUUGUCAACAAGAUUCUGCAGACUGUUUUUGACUUGUACACUGUAUUUAAAAAAAUACCAUCUCUGUUCUAAGAAUUCUCUUUAGUUUGUCUUCUUCACAUCUUCAACACAAUAUGAGGACAAAGCAAAAGCUGCAGUACUCAAAAUUACAACUUUUUAUCUACCCUUUUAUAACCAAGACAAAAUGGUCCCUCACAAGACUGUCUCCAAUCAACUGUUCAAAUAUGCAGUGGCAUUCAAGCACAGCAAUUCAAGUUUUAAGACAUUGUCAUAUCAAUAUUACUUUAUAUGGUCCUGACCUUCAAGGAUAUAUAUAAACAAAAGAUACUACAAAGAAAUUAAAGGACCAAGAUAUUAUAUAGGAGUAGCAAAUUGAGCAAAAUAUCCAAGAAAGAGUUAAAAGGACCAAGAUAUUGAUAGGUUUAACAAACUGAGCAAAAUAUCCGAGACUAAACGUACCCGACCCGGUGAAGAGGAAUCCGAUUACAAACUUAACACUAGACAAUGAACAACAAACAUAAGCUAGAACAUACUUCAAUGAUGGCGCAGCCACAAUAUAGGGCAACCUAUGGGGUAGAUUGAAGCAUGAAUUUUACUUGAACAAAAGAAUCGGAUUCUUCUUCGCCGAAGAAGCUAUUACAUUUGAGAUAUCAAGUUCGGUUAGUAGUUAUACCAACUCAUCCCGGCCUCCUGAAGGGCAUCUGAUCAACUCCAAUAUGUUAAUCACCUCUGCCAUGUCUGGCCUAUUUGAAGGCACGUGUGAUGUACAAAUCAAGCCUAACUUCAUUACUGGGAUUGCCUCGUCGGGGGGAAACUUGUCCUUUAGCCUUUCAUCAACACAUUCCUCCACCCUACCCUCUUCCAGUGCUCCUCUAACCAUGUCACAGAGUACUACCACGUCAUCUUCCUUGUACUCAACUGGUCUCCUUCCAGUAACCACCUCCAAUGCCAAUAUCCCAAACCCAUAGACAUCACAUUUUUCUGUAAUUUUUACUGUUUUACAUCCAAAUUCAGGUGCCAUGUAGCCAAGUGCACUCUGAAUCUUACUACUUAAAACGUAACGGUCUAUCAUAGGUAAAAGCCUAGCUAGACCAGAAUCUGCAACCUUUGGUUCCCCUAAACUGUCAAUUAAUAUAUUGCUUGAUUUCAGAUUGUAGUGAAUGAUGUUCAUCUGGUGCAAAUGAGCCAAACUUUUAGCUAUUCCAAGAAUAAUGGUAAAUCUCGCAUUCCAUGAGAGGAAGUUUCCACCUGAUCCCUCAUGGAGAUGCUUGUACAAAUUUCCACCAGAAACAAACUCGUAAAUAAGGAGCUGUAGUGAUGGAGUCCAGUAAUAGCCUUCAAUAGCCACAAGAUUACGGUGAUGAAUCUUCCCUAAUUUCUUAACCUCCCUUUCAAACUCUUCUUGGGACUUCACAAGACUGGAAACAGUGAGUUUUUUUAUGGCAACUGACCUCCCAUCUUUAAGAACAGUUCGAUAGACGGCUCCAAAGCCACCACGCCCAAGCUCACAAUCUUUAUUGAGUAGUGCAUGAGCUUCAGUGCUGAAGUCAGGGUCGCCAGAAAACAUGACUAACUUGCCAGAGUUGGCAUCUGUGGUGGGGGAACUGCUGAAGCCAUCACCUCCGGCUAGUGUAAAAGCUGAUGCAGAAUGAGGUGUAGCAGAGUGGACACGGAGAUUUAGAACGGUGAUGGCUAUCACCCCAAUGAUAAUAGUGGCAGCUGCACCAAUAGCAAUAAGCGCAGAAAUGCUAAGUAAUUUUUUUCUGUGGCUGGGAUUUGCAGGGAUUGAGUCUGGAGUAGAGUCAGAAGAAUUAGGAUCAAGGACAAGUGGCUUGGGAAGGACAUUAGGGCAACUAUUUUUAAGUGCAGCACCACAAAGAGAUGGAUUGCCAUAUAGAGAGGACGGGGGGAUAGUGUUAAAAAAUGCACCACCAGGCAAUUCACCUUGGACCUGGUUGUGUGAUAUAUUGAAGGAAAGUAGGUGGUCAAGAUUAGCCAUUUGCCUUGGCAGGGUUCCGGUGAGUUGGUUAAAUGACAAAUCAAUAGUUUGAAGGUUAAUUAGCUUAGCAAAGGCAGCAGGUAUUGAUCCGGUUAGGCUGUUACGCGAAAGAACUCUGCAAUAUAACAACAGUUGCAAUGAAAAUGAUAUAUUUGAGAACUGACAUGCAUAUUAUAGUAUUAAUAUUUAGAAACUGCUUAGUUGAUAAAAAAAAUAUAAUCCACAUAGAAAUCGGGUUUUAUAUCAAAGUGCCCACCGUUCUCAUAAAAAACUAUCAAGUGAUUAACUGAUCUUCACGGGAACUCAUUUUAGCCACCGGAAUUACUAUAUAUAUCACUAUGUUAAAUCUUCAAAGAUAAUUAACAAAAAACUAAAUGAAAUCCUAAUCAACAGAUGAUGCGUGAGCCUUUUGGAUUAUAUAUCAAGAACAUUAAUGUAUUGGUCUUAUAUAUAAUUGACUUAUAAAAUCAUAUAGUUUAGUUAAAAAAAGCCUAGGCUAUUUUGUUUUGCAAAUGAAUCUAUUGAUGAAAUUCAAAUAGUCACUGCAAAUUUAAGUUUCUGCCAGCCAGUCCAAUGCUCAACAGUUGAAACAGCAGCUGCUGCAUUCAUGAUCUAAAGGAGUAUUACCAGAAACGAAAUUAUAUAAACAGAAAAGUAUUACUUACAAUGAUGUCAGUGAAGUACACUUUUCUAUGGAAGUAGGUAUUUUUCCGGACAAGAAGUUAUUUUCUAGUCGCAGAUCCCUCAAAGAUACUGCUUCUCCAAUCUUCGUGGGAAUGCUUCCAUUUAACUGGUUCUGGCUCAUGUCAAGAAUAUCUAAAGCCUUUAACUCUUCAAUGCUAUCCGGAAUGCCACCUACUAGUGAAUUCUUAGACAAAUUCAAGUAUUGCAACUUGUUAAUAUCCCCAAGAGCCAGAGGAAUUGCGCCAGUCAAAGAAUUUUUUGACAUAUCCAACACUGCGAGGUUUUGCCUACAAUUGUCCGUCAAGGAUUUCAGAGAAGCACCAAUGUCUCCAGUUAAUUUAUUCUCUGAGAAAUUAACAUUUUGUAAACCCAAUUUAAAUAACCAAGUAGGAAGAUUGCC
rnacentral:lncRNA from 1 species